CGGAAACACAAUGGCGAAGCUGA
rnacentral:snRNA from 1 species